GAAUUAAAUUAUGAGAAGCUACGCAAGUAAUAGUUGCUUUGUGUUAUAAGGAAAUAAAUAUGGUCAAUGAAGCGGUUAAAUGAUGAACUUAGUCAGCUAGGCAGAUAAAAGUUUCAUACCUUUCUCCGUACACGGUAAAAACAUGGAAUUUUUGAUUUUAGUCAUAACUUAAACGCUACACGAAUCACAUUACAAGGAUUGCUGUGUAACCAUUUCAGUGUCGAUAUUUUUUCACAGUUAGACACUUACGAAUAAACAGUAGGUGAGGUAUUUCGUAGAAACUAGUCAUGCUCCAGAAACGAGCGAUAGUUCUAUAAAACACGUUUAAACGGCGAAUUAUUCAGUUCACCGAAUACUCUCAGGAUGAAGAUACUACAGAAUAUGAUGAUAUACGUAUUGCUGUUAUGCUGCAGUUUCGCUGCCUUAUCUGUAGUGGAAGGAAGUUCAGGCGAUGGUCAAAGAGAGAAAACAGACAUUUCUCGGGUAAAAAUCAAAGUAUUUCGAGGACCAAAUCAAGAAGAGAUGGGUAAAAAAUUCGCCUCAUGGGGAUUUUGGGUGAAGCAGCCUAGUGGUAAUUAGAAAAAAAGGACCGAAAAUUUCAAUCAAUUCCUCGUAGUAUGUUUGAAAGGUGUAUUAUAGAUUGUAUUUUUCUUACGAUAUCUGUUACCAUUGGUAUUGUUGUACUCCAUUGUUUCAAAGUUUUUAAAAUAUAGAAUAGAAUUAUCAGUUUUAAUCAUA